rfam:Hypholoma sublateritium FD-334 SS-4 unplaced genomic scaffold scaffold_12, whole genome shotgun sequence.
GCCCGCCUAGCUCAAUCGGAUAGAGCGUCAGACUCUUAGGCGGGUUAGAUCGUAAGAUCAUCUGAAGGCUGCGAGUUCGACCCUCGCGGUGGGCU